AGGACGAACGCUGGCGGCGUGCUUAACACAUGCAAGUCGAACGGAAAGGCCCGCUUGCGGGUACUCGAGUGGCGAACGGGUGAGUAACACGUGGGCAACCUGCCCUCAGCUUCGGGAUAACACUUGGAAACAGGUGCUAAUACCGGAUAAUAACCUUUCAUCGCAUGGUGGUGGGUUCAAAGUUUUUCGGCUGAGGAUGGGCCCGCGGCCUAUCAGCUUGUUGGUGGGUAAUGGCCUACCAAGGCGACGACGGGUA
rnacentral:rRNA from 1 species